rnacentral:lncRNA from 10 species
UACAGCAGCAAUACUAAACUGAUACACAAAGGAUCCCCGUACUUCAUCAAAAUAUCAAUGUUGUCCAUGACACACAAAGAACCCAGCUGUAGUUUAAUUCAGCAUCACAGUCCCAACAUGUUUUAAAACAUGUUCCAGCAUUCAAUUCACUCGUACAUCCAACACUAUUUGAUUGUCUGCUGGGUGCCAGUCAUGGGGCUAAGCUCUGCAGGUACAAGGCUGAGUAGGACUCUGACCACAUUCUCAGUAUAAGAGGGAAAUAAACGUGAUGGAAAUAAAUGUUAUGGA